rnacentral:rRNA from 1 species
GACGAACGCUGGCGGCGUGCUUAACACAUGCAAGUCGAACGGUGAAGGGACCGGUUUUUGCUGUUUCUGGAUGAGUGGCGAACGGGUGAGUAACACGUGAGUAACCUGCCCCCUUCUUCUGGAUAACCGCAUGAAAGUGUGACUAAUACUGGGUAUUCUGCGCCUGCUGCGUGGGGGGUGUGGGAUCGGUGUUGUUUCGGUGGGGGAUGGGCUCGCGGCCUAUCAGCUGGUUGGUGGGGUGAUGGCCUAUCAAGGCGGUGAGGGGUAGCCGGCCUGAGAGGGUGGGCGGUCACACGGGGACUGAGACCCGGACCGGAAUGGUACGAGGGGCAGCAGUGGGGAGUAUUGCACAAUGGGGGAAAGUCUGACGCAGCGACGCCGCGUGAGGGAGGGAGGCCGUGGGGGUGUAGACCUCUUUCGCGAGUGAAGCAGGCCUGUCCUUUUUGUGGGUGGGUUGACGGGAGCUGGAUAAGAAGCGCCGGCUAACUAAGUG